rnacentral:rRNA from 1 species
GACGAACGCUGGCGGCGUGCCUAAUACAUGCAAGUAGGACGCACAGUUUAUGCCGUAGCUUGCUACACCAUAGACUGUGAGUUGCGAACGGGUGAGUAACGCGUAGGUAACCUACCUAUUAGAGGGGGAUAACUAUUGGAAACGAUAGCUAAUACCGCAUAACAGUAUGUAACACAUGUUAGAUGCUUGAAAGAUGCAAUUGCAUCGCUAGUAGAUGGACCUGCGUUGUAUUAGCUAGUAGGUGGGGUAAAGGCCUACCUAGGCAACGAUACAUAGCCGACCUGAGAGGGUGAUCGGCCACACUGGGACUGAGACACGGCCCAGACUCCUACGGGAGGCAGCAGUAGGGAAUCUUCGGCAAUGGGGGGAACCCUGACCGAGCAACGCCGCGUGAGUGAAGAAGGUUUUCGGAUCGUAAAGCUCUGUUGUUAAGGAAGAACGAGUGUGAGAAUGGAAAGUUCAUGCUGUGACG